UCCUACGGGAGGCAGCAGUGGGGAAUCUUGCGCAAUGGGCGAAAGCCUGACGCAGCCAUGCCGCGUGGAUGAUGAAGGUCUUAGGAUUGUAAAAUCCUUUCACCGGGGACGAUAAUGACGGUACCCGGAGAAGAAGCCCCGGCUAACUUCGUGCCAGCAGCCGCGGUA
rnacentral:rRNA from 1 species